AAUUAAACGAAAUGAAUGAAUGAAAAACUCUUCUUUUCCUAGAAGUGACUAAUAAUUCAUUUGUCUGAUGACUAACUUCAGUCAGGAAGAACAUAAUAGGUAUGUAACACGUCAAUGGUAGUUAAUUGUUAUUGACAUUGACUGAUAUGUAUUGAAUACUAUUUUCCAAUCUAUCGAGAAUAAUGAACCACGAAUAAUACACAUUAUUUUCCACAAACAUGUCUUUAUUACGUUUCACGUACAGAUAUAUGGUGGUUGACUUUCAUACGCUGCGCGUACGUAAAGUACGUCGUCGUUGUAAGAAAAAUAAAAAAGGGCCAGUACUCUUUUUCUUGUUUCGAAAGGUUUGUCUUUUCGUUUGCCCAUUCUCCCUCCCCCCAUUUUUUCUUUUUUCUUUUUUCUUUUUUCUUUUUUUUGCAGUUAACGAUCGUAUACAACGAGAUCGAUGUUAAAAGUAAAUGGACUUUUCACCAUCCAUCGUUCUUUCACAAGCUAACAACGAGUCAACGAGUAACCAAUUCUCUCGACGAUAGUUGCAAAACUAGGCCGGUCUUCAGGGCGUGGAUGCCAACAUCGUGUCAUUAAUCCAUAAAUAGGAUCAGGACAUCCUGCAGGUUUUUCCAAACGACCUCCUAACGUUACCAUUGUCAUAGCUUCUCUAUUAGUACAACCAGUGUAAGGUAUGUAACCGAAAGACAUAAUUUCCCAUAGUAACACGCCAAAUGCCCUAUAAUAAAUUAAUCAAAAGGAACUGAUUAAUUUCUUGUUGUUCAAUGCAAUUUACACAUAAUAGAAAUUGUUAAGAUCUUAAAAAUAUAAUUAAAUUAACUAAACUACUCAUUAGACGAUUCAUUAGUAAAUUAAUACUUUUCUAUUUUUUUAUUUUACAAUUUUAAACAAAUUUCAUUUACACUCACAAAUAUUCCUUGAGAAUAUUUUUAGCCUAUCUCUAUCAAUUAUGCAAUGGAUUCUUAAAAAAUUUUAUUCUUUUAACAAAACAAAUAUUUGUUUAUAAUUUUAACAAUAUCUAUCUUAUCCUACAUAUAAACGAAAUUCUUCCAUAAUUCGAGAUGAAACUCACCAAACAUCAGUUUUCGUAGUGAAUAUUCCAUCUAGAAAACUUUCUGGUGGCAUCCAUUUAAUCGGUAACAUUGCCUUGCCCCCUUUUCUAUAAUAAUCGCUCCUGUAAAUAUCCUUUGCCAUCCCGAAAUCCGCGAUUUUCACUAUACGACCGGGUCCCUUAGACGUGAGCAAACAAUUUCUCGCGGCGAUAUCUCGAUGAAUAAAUCGGGCCUCUUCCAUAUAUUUGCAACCGUUCGCUACGUCAAAUCCGCACAUUAUCAGAUCCUGCAUCCUCAACGAAGUGGGCCGAUCCUGCCAAAACAGGAAUAUACGCAUGCACCCCAUUGAUGACGAGCGGCAAAAAUUAAGAGUUGGUCCUGUUUAAAUUGCAAUCGAGAACGACACACAGUUAACAAAAAGUAAUGGAACUUAAUAGAAAAAUUAAUAAACAACAAGCCUUCGAUGAUUAAAAUUAUGAAAUAACGGAACAGAAACAACUUAAUUGUGAAUUUAUUAAUUCAAAAUUAAUAUAAAUAAAACGUAAGAUUCUUUUAAUUGUAAAGUAAUAUACAGAAAUAAUUGGAGAUUUUUCGGAAUUAGAUUGAUCGUAAAUCUCUGUUCUUUUUCUUCUCUCUUGGAAAAAAGAAAACUUCAUCGUAACUUCUAUCUUUCAUACUAUCUUUCUACAUAGUUUUAUAUAUAUAUAUAUAUAUAUAUGCAUGUAUAUAUAUAAUAUAUAUAUAUUAAAAUAUAACGAAUUUUACAAUCGAUCCAAUAUUUGAAAGAAAACGCUAUUUACCGCGCGUGGUCUUUCUUCUCGAAGAAAGUUCUUCAAAUUUCCUCCAGCAAGCAAUUCUAACACGAUAUAUUUUGGAUUUCUCUCGAAAGAAACUCCAAUAAAAUGUACGAUAUUAGGAUGAUUAAAUUUGCUCAUUAUCAGAGCUUCCAUCAUGAAAUCUGCUUCUGUCUGAGGCCUAGACGAAGAGGGUAUUGCCUUCACAGCGACAGGUUGUUCUUGAUUCCGUCUAUAUCUAUAUACACCUUGAAAAACUUCGCCAAAAGCUCCUUGACCAAGCGGUCUACGAUACAAAAUAAAAUAAUUAAUUUAUCGAAUUGAGAAGAAAGAAGAACUGAUUAUAUAUAUAUAUAUCUUUUUUUAAAAAGUUGAGUCUUAACCUUGAGAUUGUAUGUCACUGUGGUUAUAAUGAUCGUUAAACUUAUACUUACCUUAUCAAAGUUAUACAUUCGCGUGGGAUUUGCGUCAAGUCUUUAAAACUAUAAAGAUUUCCAGCGAACUCGUAGUUCGGAUUGAAUUCAGUCAUUAUAGUGUCGGAAACAGCUUGCAGCGACGUUAAUUCAGUUCCGUUACCAAACAUUACUUGUCGCCGUUGUAUAAGCGCCUUUCGAUUUUGGUAACGAUUAUCUAUCGACAAAAGUGAGAUUUCGCUUACAUGAUAUAAAAUUAUAUAUCCAUACAGAUCGUCUACUUUCAAAUGUUCUUUUUAUUAAAAAGAUUUCAUGUUCAAGAAAAUACGAAAUUUCUAAGAUUACAGAAAACAAUGUAUGUUACAAUAUUAUCGAAUAAUUUCUUACAAAGUAGUAGGCAGAGAGCGGUGAAAGCAAAGAGUAGGCCAAUGCUUACAACUAUAAGGGGUAUCAUGAACGGUUGAUGCGUAACUUUUGAAUCGUCUAAAACAUUGUCGUCGGCUAAAAAAAAUAAUUACACCAAUAUUAUUUUAUUUCAAAGUUAUGUUCCAAAGGAGGAAAAGAAAUAAUUUUGUUUUUUUUUUUUCCUUUUUGAUACUCACGAAGACAAGAUUUUGAAUUAUUACUCAAUAACCAGCCUGGAGGACAGAGACACUUUGUCUCGCUAAGAUACUGAUCGAGAGAGAUGCAACGGAAGUCACAACCACAACCACUGAUAGCAGGAAUAAUGUAAACCUCUCCUGGCCCAUGAUUUAUUCCUGACAGGAAAUGAACGUACAUAAGCUCGUUGCUGGCGUAGGAGUAACCACCUUCACCGUUACCAAGUUCCUUGUGACCGGUAUUACCACCUAAAUCAUUAUGUAAUUGAAUUAUCAAAGAGUAGUUCUGGUAUUAUAGUGGUCAAGAUGAUAUGAAAGAAAUAAUUAAAUAACAUUGUUGUUUCUGUAUUUUUUCUGAUAGGAUUCAAAACAUGAAACAUAAUUGAAUAGUACAAGAUAAUUUGAAGGAUAUAUUUGCAGUUAAUUUUCAAUUUUAACAACACAAGUAGAACUUCAUUUGUAAUAAAGUUUUAACUUGUAUCUGAUUAAUCAGAAUCCUGCCAAUCGAGUCUAUUCAUUUUGUAUCUUAUGUGAAUCAGAAUUAAUAUAUUUCCAAUUAUAUUCAGAUACCUCAAACAGUCCAAAUAAUGAAUUGUUGUAUAUAGAACAAUAGCAAACAAAUAUUUAAAUAUUUAAUUGGCUGUUUAUAUAACAAGUUAUUGCUUAAAAUAUAUCUGUCAUCUCUGAAUUUAUAAAUAUUACAUAUAAAUUACUUAAUAAUUACAAUCAUUGAUGAUCCACGAAUCCUUUUGAUAUUAAAAGUUUGAAAAAAAGUAAAGAAAGAAAAUUCUUUUCAAAUGCUAAAACGUAACAUACAUUGUACAACAACAUGGAACAGCUAUAUCCAAUUACCCCAAUUGCAUCUGUUUCGAAUUCCAAAUGCAUCGCCACCUCCACCGCCUCCAGUAAGACAUCCACCACCGCCACCGCCGAAUCCUCCGUUUCCGUGGCUCUGAUUUCUAGGUCCGCAACCAAUUCCGCCUACGCCACCUCUAACAAGGGGCGCGCCUGCUGUAGUUCGUUGACUCGUACCCGAUGACCCGUUCAACCCUCCACCUGGGCCGCCUAGGCCAUCUGUACACCAUUACCAGAUUUAUGUAAUUAACACAGUUUCGAAGCAGUUAAAACUAAAUCGAGAUCGAUGCGCAUCAUAGAUCACGUUCACGUUACCUCUAAAACUAAAGUAUCGUACAUUAAUGCGAGAGUGAAAAUUGUUCUCUCGCGUUUAAUUUGAGAAUG
rnacentral:misc_RNA from 1 species